CUGCUCGCACUCUUCCUCUCUCUCUCAAAAUAAAUAAGUAAACAUUAAAAAAAAAAAAAAAAGGAAAACUAAAGUUCAGAGAGGUAAAGAAAGGUCAGUGGCAGAACUGGACUUUGAACCCAGGAAUUGGGCACUGAGUUCAAUGUUCUUUCCACUAGAUGUGAGGGGAGAGAGGAAGGACGAAGUUGUAUGAACAUUUCUACUGCAGAAAUGGGAGAUGGAGAGGAGCUCACUAUGAUCCUGAUAACCAGAGGCUGGGUGAUGGCCCAUAGGAAGGAAAUUCCAAGGGUCUUGAAAGCUGUGAGCCACAAACCACGGAUGAAGAUCAAAUUUAUAUGAGAAAUAUAUUUUGGCCAUCUGCAUGACUGGCUAUACGUAAUCUUCUAAAUCACAACAAUAAUGCAAAAAGAAGGAAGGAGUGAAUGGAGCUAACGUGUUCUAAUUAUGCAUUAAAACCAAUAAUUUGUAUUAGACUUCUGCUAUGGCUGCAUAACAAACUGUCCAAAGAAUUAGCAACUUAAAACAACCUUCACUGCAUUAUGCGUACAGAUUCUGUGAGCCAGGAAUCUGGAGCAGGCACAGUGGGAAUGACUUGUUUCUGUUCAUCUAUGAUGUCCGAAACCUCAGUCUGAAAGAUUCAAAGGCCGAGGGACUGGAAGAAUCUGGAAGUGCCUGAUGGCUCAGAGACAAGCGCUGUUGUCCAGAGCGUCCUCACAUGGCUUUUCUGUGUGGCUUGGCUUCUGCAAAGUACAGCAGCUUCGAGGGAGUAGGAUUUACUACAUGACAGCUCAGCGCUGCAAGCAUGAAUGUUCCAAAGAAGAAGGCAGAAGCUGCGUCAUCUUUUAUUACCCAGCUUCAAAAGGGACACAGCAUCCCUUCUGCCAUACUCUUCAGCCAGAGCAGUAACAUGCUCUCCUAGAUCCAAGAGGCGGGAAAUCAGACCCUGAUUCCUAACAGAAGAAUGGUGAGACCAGUUGUAGAUUACACGUGUUUUCAGAGAUAUUGUUGCAGUAGCUUUGGAAAAAACAGCCUCCCACACUAGCCAUCUGUUUGGGGUGAUGAAAUAUUUGGAGUAGGCAGUGAUAAUGGUUGUGUAACAAUGCGCGUGUAAUUAAUGCUACUGGGUUGUACAUUUAAAAUGACUAAAAUGGCAAAUUUUAUGUUACAUAUAUUUUACCACCAUAAAAAAUUAGAGAGGGAGGAAGAGAAGGAGAGAAAGAAGGAAAGGAAAAAGAGACAGAUAGCAGGAGACCCAGACCAGCCCAGGGCUGAAAUAGGUAGGAGUUAGGUGGGAAAUUAGGCAUGGCAUUCCAGAGAGGAAAGCUGGAUUCUGUGUCCAUGCCCCUAACUGUGCAUAUAAUUUGUACCCUGCCCCCUCCAAGAUUCCUCAAUCUAGAAGCUUGUUAGAGGGUUUGUAGAGAGUUUGAAGGAUAGUAGAAGGUUUGGCUGGACCCAUGACAAAGUGUACUCACUAGAGUAAAUGAGAGGUUAAGAAUAAAACCAAAGGGGACGACUGGGUGGCUCAGUCAGUUAAGUGUCUGACUCUUGAUUUUGGCUCAGGUCAUGAUCUCACAGUUCAUGAGUUCAAGACUCGCAUCAAGCUCAGCACUGACAGUAUGGAGCCUGCUUGGGAUUCUCUUUCCCUCUCUCUUGCCUCUUCUCUCUUUCUCUCUCUCAGUAAACAAAGUUAAAAAAAAAAGAAGAAGAAGAAGAAGAAGAAAACCAAAGGACCAACUUCCAUUUUCAAACCCACAAACCCACAAUUUCAACAAAAGGCUUAUGGGACCAACCUUGGAAGACUAACUUACAAUUCUAACAACAUUACUGAGUUUCUCGGAACCAAGCUUCAGAGAAUAGUGCCAUUUUGCUGGGGAGCGAAUGUCUUGGGUGGCAGAAUCACCAGCAUAGUCCCUGGAGAGGUGCGAUGCCUGAAUGAUAUUGUGUGGAUGGAUAAUUGUAUAACAAGGAUGUGUAAGGGUUAAAUUGUAGUGUAGGGCUAACGCUCAGCUUGAAAAAUAACAACUUUGUUCUGACACUGAAGAUCAAAAGAUAACAGCCUUGCUUUUACUCUUGUAAAUCAUACUUCAUACUCUUGUGAAUCAGGCUUUACCAAUGAAGGAAACAAAAGCUCAAAAAAAGAGCAUCAGAGACAAGGUCAAGGAGACCCACUGGUUGCAACUUAGCUGCAGAAAGUCUAAAAUAAUCACCUCAUUUGAUAACUGUUUCUGACUCAUCUGGCAACUGUUUCUAACUCAUCUGGGAACUGUUUCUCUGUUCUGUUCCCAGGUAAUGAUAAAACGAUGUGAUCGGCUUUAAAAACUCUGUACCCUGGCUGUUCGGAGCCACACUCUUAUCAAGAGUGUUGGUCCGGAUCGGUCGGCCUUGCCUCUCAUUGUAAUAAACUUUGUUGUGACUGUCA